rnacentral:rRNA from 1 species
UACGGAGGGGGCAAGCGUUGUCCGGAAUCACUGGGCGUAAAGGGCGCGUAGGCGGCGCGGGAAGUCAUCGGUGAAAGCUCAGGGCUCAACUCUGAGUCGGCCGGUGAUACUCUCGUGCUUGAGCACUGUAGAGGCAGGUGGAAUUCCGGGUGUAGCGGUGGAAUGCGUAGAGAUCCGGAAGAACACCGGUGGCGAAGGCGGCCUGCUGGGCAGUAGCUGACGCUGAGACGCGAAAGCGUGGGGAGCGAACAGG